UACAGGGGGGGCAAGCGUUGUUCGGAAUUACUGGGCGUAAAGCGUGUGUAGGCGGUCCACUAAGUCGGGUGUGAAAUCCCUGGGCUCAACCCAGGAAGUGCACUCGAAACUGGCGGGCUAGAGUAUCGGAGAGGUUGGUGGAAUUCUCGGUGUAGAGGUGAAAUUCGUAGAUAUUGGGAAGAACACCGAUGGCGAAGGCAGCCAUCUGGACCGACACUGACGCUGAGGCGCGAAAGCGUGGGGAGCAAACAGG
rnacentral:rRNA from 1 species